rnacentral:rRNA from 1 species
AAUGAACGCUGGCGGCGCGCCUAAUACAUGCAAGUCGAGCGAGAAGACGUAGCAAUACGUUUGUAAAGCGGCGAACGGGUGGGGAAUACAUGGGUAACCUACCCUAGAGUGGGGAAUAACUAGCCGAAAGGUUAGCUAAUACCGCGUACGCUCCUUGGACUUCGGUUCAGGGAGGAAAGCGAUACCGUGGGUAUCGCGCUCUUGGAUGGGCUCAUGUCCUAUCAGCUUGUUGGUGAGGAACGGCUCACCAAGGCUUCGACGGGUAGCUGGUCUGAGAGGACGAUCAGCCACACUGGCACUGCGACACGGGCCAGACUCCUACGGGAGCAGCAGUAAGGAUAUUGCGCAAUGGGCGAAAGCCUGACGCAGCGACGCCGCGUGGGGGAUGAAGGUCUUCGGAUUGUAAACCCCUUUCGGGAGGGAAGAUGGAACGAGCAAUCGUUCGGACGGUACCUCCAGAAGCAGCCACGGCUAACUUCGUGCCAGCAGCCGCUGUAAG